CCACUCNAUGGCGACAANUGCCANACGGUUUGUAGUUAAUAUAUCUGGAACGUGCCCUAGGUAGUGACGGUGAUAKRCCCKUGCGCAAUAGCUCGGAUUACAUACCGCRUGCSCACCUGAGGGUGAAAGCGGGGGAUCGCAAGACCUCGCGCUACUGGAGCGGCCGAUAUCAGAUUAGCUAGUUGGUGGGGUAAAGGCCUACCAAGGCAACGAUCUGUAGUUGGUCUGAGAGGACGACCAGCCACACUGGGACUGAGACACGGCCCAGACUCCUACGGGAGGCAGCAGUGGGGAAUUUUGGACAAUGGGCGCAAGCCUGAUCCAGCAAUGCCGCGUGCAGGAAGAAGGCCUUCGGGUUGUAAACUGCUUUUGUCAGGGAAGAAAUCUUCUGGGCUAAUACCCCGGGAGGAUGACGGUACCUGAAGAAUAAGCACCGGCUAACUACGUGCCAGCAGCCGCGGUAAUACGUAGGGUGCGAGCGUUAAUCGGAAUUACUGGGCGUAAAGCGUGCGCAGGCGGCUUUGCAAGACAGAGGUGAAAUCCCCGGGCUCAACCUGGGAACUGCCUUUGUGACUGCAAGGCUAGAGUACGGCAGAGGGGGAUGGAAUUCCGCGUGUAGCAGUGAAAUGCGUAGGUAUGCGGAGGAANCACCCGAUGGCGAAGGCAAUCCCCCUGGGCCCUGUANCUA
rnacentral:rRNA from 1 species